UACGAAGGGGGCUAGCGUUGUUCGGAUUUACUGGGCGUAAAGCGCACGUAGGCGGUUUGUUAAGUCAGAGGUGAAAUCCCGGAGCUCAACUCCGGAACUGCCUUUGAUACUGGCAAGCUAGAGUCCGGAAGAGGUAAGUGGAACUCCUAGUGUAGAGGUGGAAUUCGUAGAUAUUAGGAAGAACACCAGUGGCGAAGGCGGCUUACUGGUCCGGAACUGACGCUGAGACGCGAAAGCCAGGGGAGCGAACGGG
rnacentral:rRNA from 1 species